UACGGAGGGUGCAAGCGUUAUCCGGAUUUACUGGGUUUAAAGGGUGCGUAGGCGGCUUUUUAAGUCAGUGGUGAAAGCCUAGUGCUUAACACUAGAACGGCCAUUGAUACUGAGAAGCUUGAGUCAAGGAGAGGUAAGCAGAAUUUAUGGUGUAGCAGUGAAAUGCUUAGAUACCAUAAGGAAUACCAAUAGCGAAGGCAGCUUACUGGCCUUGAACUGACGCUGAGGCACGAAAGCGUGGGGAGCAAACAGG
rnacentral:rRNA from 1 species